rnacentral:rRNA from 1 species
GACGAACGCUGGCGGCGUGCCUAAUACAUGCAAGUAGAACGCUGAAGGAGGAGCUUGCUUCUCUGGAUGAGUUGCGAACGGGUGAGUAACGCGUAGGUAACCUGCCUGGUAGCGGGGGAUAACUAUUGGAAACGAUAGCUAAUACCGCAUAACAGUAGAUAUCGCAUGAUAGCUGCUUGAAAGGUGCAAUUGCACCACUACCAGAUGGACCUGCGUUGUAUUAGCUAGUUGGUGAGGUAACGGCUCACCAAGGCGACGAUACAUAGCCGACCUGAGAGGGUGAUCGGCCACACUGGGACUGAGACACGGCCCAGACUCCUACGGGAGGCAGCAGUAGGGAAUCUUCGGCAAUGGACGGAAGUCUGACCGAGCAACGCCGCGUGAGUGAAGAAGGUUUUCGGAUCGUAAAGCUCUGUUGUAAGAGAAGAACGAGUGUGAGAGUGGAAAGUUCACACUGUGACG